GUAUUUUCUUCAGACAGGGCACAGUCUCCUUUGUGGCAAAACCUUCAAACUUCACCAUCCUCAGCUGAAACAACAACAUCUUAACACCAUCUUCAUGAACUGCUGAGCCAAACCUGAUCCAUCAGUGCUGGACUGCACAUAUAACUACAUGCCACACAGAGACUGCUGUUUUAUGAACUGCCAUACCAGUGUGUCUUCAAUGGAGAAGAUGACACACCCAUCACCUGACCUCCUGCCUGAUCUGGAGACCAUCAUCAUGCUGCCACAGUCCACACCUCUGAGACCAUCAAGGAUGACUCAUACUGAGGAAACUGUACUUCCUGUCAGAGAUGCUCAGUGAUCCUCAGAGCAGAGAGAGGUAUUGCUUUCUUCUGAGUUCUUCAGUGUCCCAACUGGGACAUUCAAACCUCACUGCAGAGCUCAUGUCUUUCCUCACCAUCAUGUGAGUGUGAGAUUGCUCUGGAUUCUGGUUAUGUGGCCUGCAGCACCUAUAAGAACAAGCUCGUCCAGUGUGCCUGCAUUCCAGCUUC